rnacentral:lncRNA from 1 species
AGGUUAGUGUACUCAAAUCAAUUCAGGUUUGACUUCGACAAGAACAUAUCUGACGUCGAAUCGGAAAUGCGAUCAGUGGUCUCAGAAGCCGGGAUGACGUGCACUGAAUGCUCUGUUUAUGAAACACAAUGGCCGUUCCCUGAUGUCAAAAGCUGUGUCGAUGCAUUUUUUGAGGCGUUUGAAUUAUUCAAGAGCGUUCCACCCUCGGAUGUCGAUGACGCUAAGAAGGACUGGACGCGCAUCCUUGAUCACCGCUCAGGACAAGGGCCUGGAGCGUUCGCCAUGAAGACAACAUUGUACUGCGUUCAUGCUCAAUCGCCGGUCACAUGAAUGAGCUGUUCGUGGGGAACAACAUGAGCUGAAAAAUUGCAUUUCUUUAAGAAUGCUUACUUGCG